rnacentral:lncRNA from 1 species
AUGAAUUGAGUGCCUGCUGUGUUCCCAGCACUGGGUGAGGUGAUGGCUAUGCAGUGGUGCUGAAGCUGGCACCAUCUCGGUACUCACAGAACUUUGAUCUAUUAGGAGGAACAGAUAUCAAACAAGCCAAUGAACCAAAGGCUGGGGCAUAUGAGAAGGAAAGUAUGUGUCAACUUCAGAUUGCAGAUUUGCCAAAGCUUCAUGUAGAGCCCUUCUCUCUUUUAUCACGAGUAAAAGUUCAGGUUUAAAAUAGAACAACGGAUGACUAAUGCCAUUUCCAGCUGUGACUGAAUUCUCCACUGCCUGAUGCUUUUCAAAUGUAUCUGAAUCAGAAUCGAACACCCACUUUAUGCAUAGCUCCCUAAUCAGGAAGUUAUUCUUCCCAUCAAAGCAACUGGAAAGAAAAAAGAUAAAACAAUGAAGGGAGGAGAAAACACAAAAGUUCAAGAAGAGCAGAAUGUUCCGGCAAGGAGAAAAAGCUGGGAAAAGUCACCAAUGAAUGCCAGGGUUCACCACUAUCUUAGGAAUAUCAUGAAUAAAGCGUUAGAUUGGGUGUGCCCUAACUCUGUGGCGUUGACAUUAUCAAUGCUAUGGAUGCCUCAAGGCUCUCAUAAAAAUACAUGGCUUCAGCAAUACGCAUGCAGUUAUCUCAGUUUAAAGGAAAUGGGUUCUGCUCCCUGCUUAAUAAGAAAUCCUGCUUACUUCUCCAGCUUUUGAAGCACAGGUUAUUUUUCUUCUCUUCAUCAUAUAAAAAUGGAAAUUAUCAAAACAAAACAUCAUCAAAACAAAACAUCAUCAAAAACAGGUUGCUCUCUGAGUAAAGG